GAAAAGGCAUUGAGCGAGAGAAGUAAUCAGCAGAGCUUUUCAGAGAGCUGUGGGUUGGUGCAACACAGCAAGUGAAACUGACGAAAUACACUCGUGAGCUACAGGCUGAACUGGUAGUAGGCCUUGUCGGAAGCCCCCGUUAUCGUAGGCUAGGGUAUGUUAGUACCCGAAGAGAGUGGCUUGCCAAGGCAAGCAGGGUGGUACCGCGAGUGAUGACUCGUCCCUGUU
rnacentral:ncRNA from 1 species